UACGUAGGGUGCGAGCGUUGUCCGGAAUUAUUGGGCGUAAAGGGCUCGUAGGCGGUUUGUCGCGUCGGGAGUGAAAACCCAGGGCUUAACUCUGGGCUUGCUUUCGAUACGGGCAGACUAGAGGUAUGCAGGGGAGAACGGAAUUCCUGGUGUAGCGGUGAAAUGCGCAGAUAUCAGGAAGAACACCCGUGGCUAAGGCGGCUCUCUAGUACGGUACUGACGCUGAGACGCGAAAGCGUGGGGAGCGAACAGG
rnacentral:rRNA from 1 species